GGAACGAACUCGCUCGGCUGACCUGGGAAGUAAACACCUGCCUAAAAAUGAUUGACAUGGAGCACGAGGCUGUCUGCAAGCUCCACCGCUCUAUGCACCCCAACUCUCCAGCUGGCGCUGACAUCGACCCUACGGUCCACAGCAUCGUGGAGAGAGCUGUGAGG